GAGCACGAAAAGAAACCUAUAGCAGAAAACACCGCCAUGAUAUUCUCCACGUCCACGGACGUGUUAGCGGCGGUCCUGCGGCGGCUCCCAACGAGCGACCGUCGCCGCGCCCGCCUCGUCUGCAGGCUCUGGCGCGACGCCGUCGACGAGCGCACGACGGAGAUGCACAGCCGCGCCAAGGCCCUCCUCUGGAACACCCGCACCGCCGUCGCCUACGUCGUCGACGACAUCUCUUGUACGUCUACGGGGAGCUGCUUCAGGGAGGUGUUGACCGGCGGUACCCCCUGGUCGGCACGUGCAACGGCCUGCUCUGCAUCUGCGACAUCGGCAAGAAGCCCGGCCGAGAGGUCACCCUGGUAUCACCGGUGACCCGCGAGACGCUGCCCCUCCCGCCGCUGCCCGGCGGCGACCAGCUCGACGGUGGCCGGCGCUUCUGCAGGUGGGACAAGGCGUACAGCUUCGCCUACCACCCGACGACGGGGCGGUACAAGGUGGUGCACGUCCCCUGCGUCUUCAAGAGGGCCUACGACUUCGCCGCCGUGCAGGUGCUCACGGUCGGAAAACACGCGGCGUGGCGGGAGGUGCGGCCGUCCUCCGGCGGCGCGAGGUGCAACCUCAAAGCCGGCGUCGUCAGCGUCGACGGCACGACGUACUGGGUCACGAAUGGCGCCGCGGCGAGGGUGGUGGCCCUAAGCCUCGACGACGAGCGCAUCGCCGGCUUCGCCUUGCCGUCGCCCGCUCUGUCGGCCGGGCCCGAUAGCUAUCACCUGGCGGGGGUGCGCGGGCGGCUGGCCGUCGUCGUCCACGAAGCCUUCGGGGGCACGACCGGGGUGUGGGUUAGAGAGGAGAAGACGGGGACGUGGACUCGCCGGUGCGGCAUCUGGUCGCAAGACCUCACGCGGCCGCACUUCGUGCACGGCGAGCUCGUCACGACGUUUCAUGGGCCGUCGUUGCGCGGCCACCGGCGGAAAGGCACGCGGCAAUCGUCGUCCCCGUGCGACGUGACGGUCGGCGACAAGGCCCAGGGGACGCUGCUCGCCAAGGUCAAGGGCGGGGCCCGCCACUACCGGACGUUCGCCUACGGAGUAAGUUCAUGUCAUGACAUCCUAAUUCUGACCUUCAGCAUUAACUAUUUAAGGUGAUUUUUAGUGAAAAUUACGCCUAAUAAGAAGGAACAUGUACUUGUUUAAUUACUUGUGUGAAGCUCCGUCACGGUCUGUUUUAGUUCAAAGAAUCCACUACAUUCUUUAAUGCUCUAGAAGUGACAUCAUAUAACUAUUAUGACUGCCAAUUUGUGUUUUUAUUGUCUGUAAAGAAUACUAUUUCCUCUGUUUCAAAACAGUUCAGAUUCACCACACUUAUUUUGAAUUGGAGGGAGCAAUAGUUAGGCGAAAGAAUGUAGUAAAUCCUACACUAUGCAUAUUAGCUAUAUCCGAAGUUAAACUUUAUAAAGUUUGAGCAACUUUAUAGAGAAUGAUAUAAUAUUUAUAAUAAAAAAUAUGAUGUGAAAAAUGCAUUCAAUGAGGAAUCCAAUAGUAUUGGUUUGCUAUUUUAGAUGUUAAUAGUUUUUUCUAUAUAUACUUGAUCAAAGUUUACAAACUUUAACAUAAGACCAAGCUAAUAAAAUAAUGAAGAUGGAGGGAGUACAUGUUAAUUUAGCUGCCUCAAGCCCAAAUAAAUCAUUUCUAUCUGCUAUAUGAAGUAUUUGUGAGUGUACUAUCUGGGUUCUCCGCUGAAAAAAAGUGGUUUUGUGCAUGUAUAAUGGGUCGGCGAUCUAACCAAAUUUAUGGUAUCACCAACAUAUCUUGCAAUUUAUCUCUCCCGUUGUUGUACCAUCCACCUUGUUACUUAACAUACACAGUAAGAAAUGUAACACCCAUCUUAGUUUGCAUAAAUUGCACUGUACUUUUUCAUGAUGAAAAUCACAACUUCACAAGUUAUAUUUAAUCGAUUCUAAGAAAAACUUUAGGAGCCUUCUUAAGCUGAGUUGGUAGUUUAACUAAUCUUGUGUUCUUGAUUGAUCAUGUGUGAUCUGUAUAGUGCCAACUUUUCUUGAACAAUAAGCUAAUUCUUUUUCGGAUUAUAUGUAUAAUAUUCAUACUCUCUCCCUCCCAAAAUAACUGUCUCAAGCUUAAUACAAUUUUGUAUUAGAGUUAGUACAAAGUCGAGACACUUAUUUUGGAACGGAGGGAGUAUUUGACAAGUGGUUGUGCGUAUUAUAUUUGACCAUUAUGUGUUAUUUCAGACCCCCAUCCAUGGCUUCAGGGACGGCGGUCCAAGGUCGUCUGCAAGCUGCGUGGGCUGUGUUCGUUCUGCUAUUCGCCUUCUUUGUUCUGCUGCUCGCCUUCACUUUCGCGUGUCUUGGCAAAU
rnacentral:lncRNA from 1 species